rnacentral:lncRNA from 1 species
CUUCUCUGAUCGAGGACACGCUGGGGUUAUGUCUAACAUAAGAACGUGUUCAGGGUCAUUCAUUUGAUCAUCAGUAGCUUAUGUUCGCUGUGCGUAGAUCAUCCCCCUUUUAUUUUUGUAGUCGUAAGUUAGCCACCUUACAUAAAUGCUUAUUCGCUUGCUACAUCCUCACCACUUAACCUUACCUCACCCAUUAAGCUUUGCUAGUAUUGAUACAUUUGGAAAUGAGAUUGUUAAUCCAUGUGGCUCAUAGAUUACUACAUCACCAGUUGUAGGUACAAGUAAAGUGAUAUUAUGGAGUGGGCGCGAUGAUUGUGCUAUGUGGAGUUUCUUCUUCUUCAUCAUCGAUCUAGGAUGGGUUCCAUGCCGGCAGCCUGGGAUAGCAAGGAUGGACGUCGUUCUUUUAUCGUUUGUUUUCGUCCAUAGACGAACCCUGCUUUUCUUCAUGAUGACUGUAUAUUGUUGUAUUAAUGUGAUAUUGAUGUAGCUUGUGGCGAAUGUAAGACAACUCCUUAUACUCAUAUUUUUAGUACAUGUACUUGUAAC